UUCGCAAUGCCCGAAAGGCUGACGCAGCGACGCCGCGUGCGGGAGGACGCUUUUCGGAGUGUAAACCGCUGUCAGGUGGGACGAAGGUCCGGGGGAGGAAAUGCUCUCGGGAUGACGGUACCGCCAAAGGAAGCACCGGCUAACUCCGUGCCAGCAGCCGCGGUAAUACGGAGGGUGCGAGCGUUGUUCGGAAUUAUUGGGCGUAAAGCGCACGUAGGCGGCUAUGUAAGUCUCACUGUGAAAGCCCGGGGCUCAACCCCGGGACUGCAGGGGAUACUGCGAGGCUGGAGUCAAGUAGAGGUUGGUAGAAUUCCGGGUGUAGCGGUGGAAUGCGUAGAGAUCCGGAGGAAUACCAGAGGCGAAGGCGGCCAACUGGACUUGUACUGACGCUGAGGUGCGAAAGCGUGGGGAGCGAACAGGGAUUAGAUACCCUGGUAGUCCACGCUGUAAACGAUGGGCACUAAGUAGAGGGGUUUU
rnacentral:rRNA from 1 species